CUGAAGAGAGUCUGUGAGUGGACCUGAAGAGAGUUCAGCAGCGCAGCGCCCCUCCAGAUCUGGCGACCGCCUAGUUCGCCAGUGUCAAGGGCCGGCCCUGCCCCCACCCCUUCCCU